rnacentral:misc_RNA from 1 species
AAGUUGAAAAAGGGCUGACAUCCAUUCAUCAAAAUGAUCGAGGUCACAUUCAGAAGUUGGGGUUUAACGGCGUGGCCGCGACGAUUACCAGUAACGAGGGUUUUACUACUACGCUAUGGAAGCUCGACGUGACCGCCAAUCAAUUUGGGGAACGCGAUUUGACUCGCGAGUCCCAACACCAAGCUGGGCUUGAGGGUUGAAAUGACGCUCGAACAGGCAUGCCCGCCAGAAUACUGGCGGGCGCAAUGUGCGUUCAAAGAUUCGAUGAUUCACUGAAUUCUGCAAUUCACAUUACUUAUCGCAUUUUGCUGCGUUCUUCAUCGAUGCCAGAACCAAGAGAUCCGUUGUUGAAAGUUUUGAUUUAUUUAUGGUUUUACUCAGAAGUUACAUAUAGAAACAGAGUUUAGGGGUCCUCUGGCGGGCCGUCCCGUUUUACCGGGAGCGGGCUGAUCCGCCGAGGCAACAAUUGGUAUGUUCACAGGGGUUUGGGAGUUGUAAACUCGGUAAUGAUCCCUCCGCAGGUUCACCCUACGGAAGGAUCAUUACCGAGUUUUACAACUCCCAAACCCCUGUGAACAUACCAAUUGUUGCCUCGGCGGAACACCCGCUCCCGGUAAAACGGGA